rnacentral:rRNA from 1 species
UACGAGGGGUCCUAGCGUUGUUCGGAAUCAUUGGGCGUAAAGGGUGUGUAGGUGGCUAUGUAAGUCAGGUGUGAAAGCCCCGGGCUCAACCCGGGAAGUGCAUCUGAUACUGCGUAGCUUGAGUACCGAAGAGGAUAGUGGAAUUCCAGGUGUAGUGGUGAAAUACGUAGAUAUCUGGAGGAACACCGGUGGCGAAGGCGGCUAUCUGGUCGAGUACUGACACUGAGACACGAAAGCAUGGGGAUCAAACAGGAGUUAGAUGACC